AACAAACGCUGGCGGCGUGCCUAACACAUGCAAGUCGUACGUGAAAGGGUCUUCGGACCUGAGUAAAGUGGCGCACGGGUGAGUAACACGUGGAUAAUCUGCCCCUUAAUUGGGAAUAACUCAUCGAAAGGUGAGCUAAUACCGAAUAACGCUGCAUGGCUUUGGCUGUGUAGCCAAAGAUGGCCUCUGCUUGCAUGCUGUCGUUGAGGGAUGAGUCCGCGUACCAUUAGCUAGUUGGUAGGGUAAUGGCCUACCAAGGCGACGAUGGUUAGCUGGUCUGAGAGGAUGAUCAGCCACACUGGAACUGAGAUACGGUCCAGACUCCGUACGGGUGGCUG
rnacentral:rRNA from 1 species